AACGAACGCUGGCGGCAGGCCUAACACAUGCAAGUCGAACGAGAAGCCACCUUCGGGUGGUGGACAGUGGCAGACGGGUGAGUAACGCGUGGGAACGUGCCUUUCGGUUUGGAAUAACCCAGGGAAACUUGGGCUAAUACCGGAUACGCCCUUCGGGGGAAAGAUUCAUUGCCGAAAGAUCGGCCCGCGUCGGAUUAGCUAGUUGGUGGGGUAAUGGCCCACCAAGGCGACGAUCCGUAGCUGGUCUGAGAGGAUGACCAGCCACACUGGGACUGAGACACGGCCCAGAAUCCUACGGGAGGCAGCAGUGGGGAAUAUUGGACAAUGGGCGAAAGCCUGAUCCAGCCAUGCCGCGUGGGUGAAGAAGGCCUUAGGGUUGUAAACCCCUUUCAGCGGGGAAGAUAAUGACGGUACCCGCAGAAGAAGUCCCGGCUAACUCCGUGCCAGCCGCCGCCGUAAAAC
rnacentral:rRNA from 1 species